AAUUAAAUUUUUCAUCUAUUUCUACUAUUAAAAACUGGCUUGGUUGACGCAAUAAUCAAACAAUUACACAUGGCAUGUCACAUAUACCUCAUAUCGACUUACAUGGACUGUUUUAACAAUAGAAAUUGAUGAAAACUUUUAACA
rfam:Gossypium hirsutum cultivar TM-1 chromosome 8, whole genome shotgun sequence